rnacentral:rRNA from 1 species
AAUGAACGUUGGCGGCAUGGAUUAGGCAUGCAAGUCGAGCGAGAAGUGUAGCAAUACACGGAAAGCGGCGGAAGGGAGAGUAAUACGUGGGAAUCUGCCCUUAGACCUGGGAUAGCAGCGGGAAACUGCUGGUAAUACCAGAUAAUGUCUAUGGACCAAAGGUGUGAUUCCGUCUAGGGAUGAGCCCACGUCCUAUUAGCUAGUUGGUAGGGUAAUGGCCUACCAAGGCGAUGAUGGGUAGCGGGUGUGAGAGCAUGACCCGCCUCACUGGGGCUGAGACACUGCCCAGACACCUACGGGUGGCUGCAGUCGAGAAUCGUCGGCAAUGGGCGCAAGCCUGACCGAGCGAUGCCGCGUGCGGGAUGAAGGCCUUCGGGUUGUAAACCGCUGUCGAGGGGGAGCAACUUCCAUAGAGUUAUCUUUGUGGAUUGAGUGAUCCCUGGAGGAAGGACGGGCUAAGUUCGCGCCAGCCGCCGCGGUAAGAC